UCCCACGUGGGGGCUGACGCCGUUCGCUCAGCAACGCCGGCUUGAUCCUGGGGCUAUAAAACGAGUCCACCGUGAGCGCAGCGGAGCAGCAGCAGCUCCAGCUCGGUGCAGAAGCCCAGCAGCCGACGUGCCGCCGCCCGGCCACUCCAGCGCCUUCUUCCCCGCCUUGCGCUCCUGCCCCAACUCGCGCUGUCGUCGGACCCCGGCCCAUCCAGCAGCGCUCGGCGCCCACCAGGCGGACGCCCAGGAGAACCCCUGCCUCCGUCGCGGCUCCUGGAGAGCUGAUCGUUCACCUGCCCCGGCCCGCCUGAGGACGGGGGUGCCUUCAUGCGGCCCCCACACUCCUCACCCCGCCGCCGCCGCCGCCCCCGAGCUCCGCACAGUGCGCCCCAGCCCCAGCAGGGCGCACAACUUUGGAAGUCUCGCGGCGCUCCGAGAGGCGGCAGAGUCCGCGCCCCAGCCCCGGGCCGGGCCGGGCCAGAACCGCAGCGUCUGGGGGAAGCCAGAGAGUCGGUAAUCGCUUCGGGGAUGUAAGGCGACAGACAUAGGACCCCGAGCUCGCAUCAGCACCCCUCGGCUGCCUCCCGGGGUGGGGGCGGGCCCCGCACACGCCUGAUGGAAGACCUUGUGUCUUCAAUAGCACAAGAGGGUGGGCCUAGAAGAGCUCCAGGACCCAUACGAGACCUGUAACGACCACGAUGCAUUUCUAGACUUGAAACUGAGAUCUCCUGGUGCCAGGUUAGUGCUCCUUGCUGCUUCGCUGCACUCCAGGUCAUUUUAACUAUCUUCUGAACAUAAUGCUCAUUUCUGCCUCCAUAACUCUGCUUAGAUUCUCCUGCAUGUGGAAUGCCACAUACGUGAUCCCUCUGCUGCCUCCCAAAAUCACACCACACUUUAAAGCCAAGAUACACCACCACACUUUUAAAUUUUAAUAGUGGAAAGAACCUGGGGUUUGGCAUCAGUUAUACUGAGGCUUAAUCCUUGGGUCUGUCUUCCUGUCAGUUCCACUCUCCAUCUCCAAAGGUGGCAAAUGCCCAAUAGGGGUACAUGGUGGAGGGCGCCGUGCUGCUGCUGAGAGGAGCUACUCAUGGGCCUGCCCCCUGCCCUCCCAUUCUCGAAAGCUCCGAGGGAGGGUCUUUUCAUCACUCUUUCUUCUCAUUCAGAUGGAUUGGAGUCAGAGACUGGUAUCUUCCCCAGUUCUUCUGUGCCCACUACUGGAGAGCUUUUGGUCAGAAGAGUUUCAGAACUAAACCAAAAGGGCCGGGUGUGGUGGCUCACGCCUGUAAUCCCAGCACUCUGGGAGGCUGAGGCAGGUGGGUCAUUUGAGGCUGAGAGUUCAAGACCAGCCUGGCCAACAUGGUGAAACCCUGUUUCUACUAAAAAUACAAAAAUAGCUGGGCAUGGUGGCGCAUGCCUGUAAUCCCAUCUACUUGGGAGGCUGAGGCAUGCGGAUUGCUUGAACUCAGGAGGUGGAGGUUGCAGUGAGCAGAGAUCAUGUCACUGCACUACAGCCUAGGUGAUACAGGGAGACUCUGUCUCAAAAAAGAAAGAAAGAAAGAAGUAAGAAAAGACGUAAACCUAAAGGAAAUCCUAAGACAUGCAGAUUUUCCCCUUAGAGGGGAAGGGUUUCUCCCAUCUAAGCUACCCCUAACUCAUGAGUUCUCCAAAGCUCUUCAGCAUGGGGCUAAGAAGAGCUUAGAUUUUGGUUUCUGAUGGACUGGGGUUUGCAUCCUGGCCUCAACUCUGGCAGUCUAUGUGACGCUGGACAAGUUGUUUUUUCCCCAUGGCAUCAGGUAAAAAUGGGUAAAAUAUUACCUAUCUCAUGGGGCUGCUGUAGAAUUAAACGAGGUGAUGACUUUGCAGUAAUAACUCAGCAUUGGAUAUAGAAGAUGGCUUUGGUCCUGUGAGCUGUAGGUCUGGGGGCAGGGCUGCCUCUGUGUAAUCUCUGGACACUCUUCGAUUCCAUCUCCAACACUUGCUUCCUGCUCCCCCAGUUUUGUGGAAUGUGGCCUGUGGAUCCAUAUUUCACUUCAGGGCCGCGCCAGAGUUCCCUGUUUUUGUCCCAGUGUAAGUUCUGAAAGGGCAGAGCAAAUAGGAGGAAGUGAAGGGAGCUAAUUGGAGUACUUUCUUUACUGCUUUAUGCUUUGGUUUACUCAUAUGUAAAAAUUUUUGUUUGCUUUUUUGGUAAGAAACAAACAAGUUAAUGUAAGUUAAGUGUUUAGAACAAUGUCUGGUGCAAAGUAAUUGCUCAGUAAUGAUUAGCUAUUAUUUACUUGUUUAUUUGGCACUUACUGUGAAUUUGUCACUGUGCUAAGUCCUGAGGAUACAAAAUGGGAAAGAUCUAAUUCCUGUCCUGAGUUUCAUGUUGGAGAUAAAGUUAAUAACUAGAGUAACUCUCUGUGUUAUAGGCAAUGGCAAGAAAUUAGAAACAGUAGUUCUCACCAAUAAUAGUGGAUUAACUGCAACGUUUAUUUCAUUUAUAUACUGGAAUAUUUUGUGUAUUUAAGAAGAAAACCAAUCUAUGUGAAAACUGUUCAUAAUACAGAUUUAAGAGAAAAAGACAGAUGAUAACCAAUACAGUAUGAUCUCAUAGAAAUUGAAACAUUAAAAAACAAAAAAACUGGAAACACCAAACUGUUAGUAGUUACCUGUGGGUGGAGUGUUUGCAGUCAAUUUUUUCCUAAAAUUUUCAUCUUACAUUUUUCUGUAAUCAUCAUGUAUAACUUUUGUAGCAAAAUGAAAAAUUCUUUGAAAGCAUGAAGGAAACACUAUAGUGUCUCCAGUUUAGAGGGAAGAUAUGUUGUGUCUAUUGAAGAAAUGAAGGCUGUGAUGAGAGAAGAUGGACAUAAUCAUUCAUAAAAAUUCAAAAAUAGAUGUUUACAGCAGAAAAAAAACCCAGUUUCACCAAAAAGGAAAUCAACACAAUGGGAAAAGACAUUAGGUAGAAAAUAUUCAGAAAAAUUUCCAAUCCUGCACAUUUAAGACUGAUUCCUUAUAAUAAGAGGAGUUUGAUAUCAAUGUUGAUGAUCGGCACAUAGGGAAGUAAAUGCGUCUCCAUUUGGUUAAUGGAAAAACUUUCUAGCAAUGAAAGAAAUGAGCCUGAGAACAACUGUGGGAUAUCUCACGGUAAAAAAAAAUAUGGAAAUAAUAAAAUCGCAUAAUAAAAUCACAGUAAAAAGGAGAAAUCAUAGAAUGCAAGGCCAGGAAAGCCACGGCUGUGCUGGAGGUCGACAGCAGGUGUCCGUUCUGACUGCUGCAUGCUCAUGCUCUAUUGGGUGCUAAUAUUUUAAAUAGCCCCCCCUAGAAACACAUGUCUUCAUACAUACCUGGUAUGAUAUGUAAAUUGGGCCUUAUCUUCUGGAGAGAAAUCUGGCAAUAUUGUAAGAUGAGCCAUAACAUUACUUACAAUAUUAUUUUUCUCCACUGUCACACUCUUGAAAAACACUCACUAAAGAACUAAUAUUAAGAGAAAAAAGAUGCCCACAAUAAUGCUGUCUAUGUUAGCAAGCAUUGAAAACUAUCCAAUGUCCACUCAUAGGGACAUGGCAUAUUCUCGUAACACCACAUAUGCAUCAGGGUUGUUUGCGAUGCCCUCUUCAUAUCUGAGUUCUCGUGCAGUACCACAAGCGGGUGCAUAUUGUCAUUCUGACUUUGUGGUGGAUCUAUGUGACACGCCAAGGUUACUCAGAGUUUAGUCUCUGCUCUACCACUUCUUCAGGAGCACAGUCCACAGCUUUUCCCAUAGCGUGUGGCUGCAUGUUUAUGAUGCCACAUCCAAGGACUUUGUUUCCUGCUGAAUCUGAGUCACCUACAACCCAUAGUAGGCAUCCAGUAAACAUUCGGUGGAUGAAUGAGUGAAUGAUACUUAAUGUGAUGAAAUACACCUAAGUCAGUAGAUGUGACCAUUGAGAACCACGUUAAUGCAGGAAUUGUGAAUGCAGAGAUGAGAACCUGGUGUCAAGUGUGACAAGGCACACACGUUACAUGGCUGCUCCACACCUGGAUGUGCACAAAGACAGAGGGAAUCGCUCACCUCACAGGGGCUAAGUUCCGCAGGAAAGAGAAUGUAAGUACUUGUGUUUUAAGGACAGAGGAAGUGCUGUCCACCAGGGAAGAGCCUGCCUCCUGGCUGGCAAAGUCCUCGCUCUUAAAUUAUCAGUGGUUGAUUUGGUACAAGGGCUAAGAUCAAACCUGAUGAGAUCUGCAGAUGUCUGACUUCCCAAGACCUGUGUCUCUGAUGCAUUUUUGUGCUUGAAACAACUACAGAGUGAAGAUGGGAUGUACAAAGACUUGUGUGGGUACAGUUUGUAUUAGCCAGGGUUCUCCAGAGGACAGAACCAAUAGGAUAUAUGUCUGUAUGAAAGGGAGUGUAUAGGGGAGAGCUGGCUCACAUGAUCAGAAGGCAAAGUCUCACGAUAGGCUGUCUGCAAGCUGGGGAAGAAAGAAACAAGUAGUGGCUCAGUCCAAAAGCCUCAAAAGCACGGACGCUGACAGUGCAGCUGUCAGUCUGUGGCCCAAGGCCUGAGCGCCCCUGGCAAAUCACUGAUGUAAGUCAAGAGUCCAAAGGCGGAAGAACCUGCAGUCUUCCAAGGGCAUCAGAGGAAGAGAAGGAAGCAUCCAGCAUGGGAGAAAGAUGAAGCCAAAAGACCCAGCAAGCCAGCUCUUCCCCCUUCUGCCUGUUGUAGCCAUGCAGACAGAUGAUUAAAUGGUGCCCAUCCACAUUGAGGGUGGGUCUUCCUCUUCCAGGUCACUGACUCAAAUGUUAAUCUCCUCUGUCAACAUGCUCACAGACAACAUCCAGAAACAAUACUUUACCAGCUAUCUAGGCAUCCUUCAAUCCAAUCAAGUUGACACUUAAUAGUAACCAUCACACACCUAUAGGCUGUCAAGGGCUGUGAUAGGCACUGCCUGGAGGGUUGUGGAAGGAUCCUCAGAGAGAACAGCUUUGUGCAGGAUCUUGAAGAUAUGGAGGAGUGGAUGUGUGUGCAUGCACAAGUGUGUGUGUAUGGGAUACACACACAUGUCAUAUACUAUACAUAUACAUAUGCCUUUCCUCUGUCUCUCUCUGUAUAUAUAUCUAUAUAUAUAUGGCAAUGAUUGCUUUGAGUUGGGGGAAAGUCUUAGCUUUUAAACACAGAGAGAGGGAUUGAAAACAGAACCCUGAUCUAGGAGUUUGCCAGUGCUCAGGACAGUGGAAUUGGAGGAAGGUGUUCUUGUCCCAGCUUUUAGGCUGGAGGCAAAAGGUGGUCUCAGCUCAUUAAGUAAGGAUGGCCCUGGAUCUGUAGGGAAGAACCAGAAAGGAGAAAGGGGUGAGAACUAAUAAGCUCAUAUGGCUCAGGGCUUGACAGUACCAUUCCUGGUCAUCCUUUGUGUGUGCAGCAACAAAGGUCAGCCUUUGAUUUGCUCUCUGGGUGACUCCUGUCCUCCAUGCCACCCUCCAUGGAACCUCCAUGGAUCCCUGCCUCAAAGUCAGGGUCACUUGGGCAUGUGUUCAUAGCCACUUCUUCUGGGUUCUCUGUUGUGUGGCCUGGGUCGGGUAGGGUCUUGGCACCCCAUCACUGCCCUUGCUUAUCUGCAGCAGCUCUGGUGUGUGCUCACUGUUCGCAGUGUUAGUCCUGAAUCACUCACCACAACUCACUUGCCUUGUGCUGUCCAAUCUUACUUCAGUUGUCCUGAUGACUAAUGCGAUCACUUCCUCUCUCAGUUCUUAAUUGUUUUGGUUUGUAUUUGGCACAUGCUGUUGUUGUCUUCUGGGUUUUGUCUCCUCUUAGUGAUGAUGAUGAUGAUGAUGAUACCUAUUUGGUGAUAAUGAUUCCUCACUCUCUGUCCCAGCAAUACAAUGGAGAAUGUCUUAUGCACAUUUUCUCUGACCCAGCCCUGGGCUGCUACUAUCAUGAAGCAGGGAUGACUCAGACUCUGCUGGUCUCAGCUUUGCAGAUGCGAUCUGGACCAUUUCCCUGCCUGGGAGCAGGAUGGGAGCAAAAUUGAUGGAAGCAGUAGACAUGAGACACUCUUUGUGAGGUGUCAGCUCCAGGCUCUUUGUGGGGCUGGAGACUUUCUUGUACCUUCUGCAUAUUGCCUGCUUUUCUGCAGCACUCCCAGCAACCUCUUUUCACUGGGGCAGAGAGAACCAUGGUGAUGGUAUUGAGGGGAUUGGAUUCAGCCUGUAGCUCAUCAGGGUCAUGUGUGGGAUGGAGGCCACGCAUGAAAAUCAACCUGCUUGUUAUGUGGUGAAUGUCUGUGGUUUGCCUCCCCAGCCAUCAUUCUCUCUUCUGGCAAUAGCCUCACUCCCAUCUAUGUAUUACUCUCAAUCAGUGUGUUUGGGGUGGGCUCCAAGGUGACUCUAUGAGCUAAGCCCAGGUUUGUAGCCUGCCAGUGUAUCCCCCACUGUGACCACAAUGAAUGGGUCAGGGGCCCAUCCCUGAAUCGGUCAAAGCCAAUAAGUUUCCAGAAGACUUUCAAUGGAAUUGUUGAGAAAGAGGCAGUGUUUUUUCCCACUGGAUGUGCCAUGUCCAUCCACGACCUAGGCCACCAUGGAAGAUGGAAGAGCUCUUAAAGAGGAAAAGAAAUGGAGCCCUAAUGACACCAAUUGAGUCCUUAAUCUAGUUGUGUGUGAAGUGAGACCUAUCUCUAGACUUUUAAAAAAUUUCAUGAGCCAGUACAUUCCCAUUCUUUUAAUUAAGCCAAUCUGAGUUGAGUUUUCUGUCACUUACAACAAGGAAGUCCUGACAGAUACAGUCCUGUGACCUUUGGGUCAAAGUCACCUCAUCAAUAUGCUCAAAGAUUGUGUGAAUUUGAAGUGAAUUUCUUUGUUUUGCUUCUUUAGUUGGGUGUCACCUUGUCCUUGUGUUAUGAUCAACUUUCUAAUUCAAACUAUGUUGACACUGCCUUAAACGGUUCUUUGAACUUAUCUAGAGUCCAUCAAACCAAGGUCAGAAACCCAUAACCCACGUGCUAUCCUAUGGGGACCAACAGGCCGAGUAUAUAAGGUUACUUGGAACAACUCCUUGGGAGGGUGGGAGGAACUUUCAGUUAUCCAUCAAUUUCUGGGAUUCUUUUAUGUUAUUGGAUAGGAGGUAGAGGACUUCUGACCGUCUGGGCUUCCAGUCUCAGGGUCCAACUUACCAUUUGCAUGUUUCUAAAGAGGACAGAAUGGUUGUUCUCACAACUAUUUCCUGGCUCUACAAAUAGCACAACACCGUCAUCGUCCCAGAGGCAUGGCCCAAAUCCUGGCUGUCCUGUAACAGGAGCUGUUGCCACCAAGUGACUUAUUUCAUGGUGAAACCUUCCAGAAAUGGGUUUAGACAUCGUUGGAAUGUGUAUGUAUUUUUGUGCAUUGCAUUUUGGGGACAUUAUUUGAUCUAGUUGGCAAAGUGAAGCCAGAUGAGCUGAGAGCAUAGGUCAUUUGGGCUGCCAGCUUUCUGCACUUAAAUAUUCUGCUUUAUUCCCCUCACAUUUCUACAGAAGUUCAGCUUUCAGAACUAUGCAACAGUAUUUGGACACAAGACUCUGUAAAUGCCAAUAAUCUCUGUAAAUCAUCUAUGUGUGUACAUGAAUCCAGUGAAAAAUAAA